UUAAAUUCCCAGGCUGCAGUGUCUGCGAGUUUUCGUAGUUUCCUUUCAAUCAGCUGCCAAUUCCUUUGAAUGAUUUAAAUGAACUACUGGUGCUGAGAACACCCAGAAAACCUGCAGAAACUGUGGCCCUUCAGGACUGGAGUUUGACUCCAAAUAUUGGCCAUAAUUCUGGGCACAAGACAUUGUGUUAUGCAGUUUAUGACAUGAAAACAUAAGAAUGUUUGAGGCCAUUGAGCCUGUCUAGGCAUGUCAUUUUACCUGCUGUCUAUGAAUGAAGUCCUGAAGACCUUCAUGUAGCAGAGGAAGUAUCUAUCACAUCUAGUAUAAGGUAAGCAUCAUAGCUAUCACAGAAAUGUUGUGGAAAUGUAUCUUCAGUUGUGGGCUAAGCUGUACUGAAAAAGGGGCGUGAGAUUAUUUGUUGAAUCAGAGAUGAGAGAACACAACUGGAGGAAUCCAAUGCAUUCAUAAACUCGGAUGAGAUGCAGUCCCUCUCAUAUUUCAAUGUUUCAUCCUGACCUUUGCAAAUUUUACUAUUUGCAUUUUACACAAUUUCAUGCUUGCACAGUGAAAAGAGUUAGAAACCUCUUUCCUUAUGAUCAAAGUUAAUCAUUUCUAGGUCCUGCUGCUUUUGAUUAGUGACAUUGUGCUCCUGGUCAGUUUGAAAAAAAUGAUAUGGAAAUAAAUAUUUCCAUGUUUGUGCCUUUUUGAAUUUAUAAUUGUGAAAGCGAUGUUCUCCACUGCUAUUCUUCAGUCUGGAUAAGAGGGUCUACCAGGUGGUUUUAAUAAAAUGUAAUGUACAAAUAUGACUCUGGAAUGCAAGUGGAAUAGAGUGGAGGCAAAGCUUGAUAAAGCCCUAAAAGAUUUAGCAUUGGAAUGAAUUUUGCUGUUCUUAGCAGGCAAAUGUUGCCUUUGCAUAUGAAAAGUAAAUGGUGCAUGUGUGGGUGAGGUAACAGGUACCAGGAGCUGAUUGUUUGCAAAAGGACUUAAGGCUCUUUCGUUAUGAAAAUAAAUUACCAUUUAAUCUCUAACCGCUCCAUAUAUUCUCCCAUUUUAACUCUCUCAUAGGGAACUGAAUGCUGGCCAGUGUACUGUGUAAAUUAUCUUCAUGAUUUCCAAAUUAUGAAAAUGGCGAACGGCUUUACUCGUGCCAGUCAGUCAGUGAUACAUUUUAAAGAACAGAACAAGAGAGGAUGUGCUGCCUUCACUUUUUUCGUAGAAAAGGAGGAAGUGAUAUCCACUUAUUUCCUGUGGCCAGUCAAGAAUAGAGUCCUUGUCUUGCAAAAAAAACAAAACAUGAACACACACUGGUGACAUGUCAAAGCAACUGUCUGUUUGGCAACCUGGCUCAAAAUUUUGAUCUGCAUCUUCCAUCAGUGCUGCUGCUGCAGCUGGACCCACACAGAACACGGCAGCUAGAGAGCAGCCCAGACGUCCCUCUCCCCAGCGGCGUACGCUAACUCAUCCUGGUGGAUCCCCAGGCGAUCCCGGGCCAGCCUUUGGAUAUAAUCCCUCCAGCGUGUCCUAGGUCUGCCCCUGGGUCUCCUCCUCGGUGGCCGAGCCCAGAACACCUCCAGAGGAAGGCGCCCAGGAGGCAUCCUCACCAGAUGCCCAAACCACCUCAACUGACUCCUUUCAGUGCAGAGGAGCAGCGGCUCUACUCUGAGGUCCUCCUGGAUAGCUGAGCUUCUCACCAUAUCAAGGAGAGUAAGCCCUGUCAACCUACGGAAAAACCCCAUUUCAGCCGCUUGUAUUCGCGAUCGCACUCUUUUGGUCAUUACCCAUAGCUUGUGACCAUAGGUGAGAGUAGGGACGAAGAUCGACUGGUUAAUCAGGAGCUUUGCCUUUCGGCCCAGUUCCUUCUUCACCGCCACCGUCCGAUACAAUGCCUGCAUUACUGCGACCGCUGCACCUACAUAUUUAUAUAUAUUAAAUGUAUGUAUGUAUUUUUCUGAUUGUUGGGCAUAACUGGUUUGUCAUCAUAAAUGUCUUGAAACAAACUGUAUCCAUGAUAUUUAUAUAUAUUAAAUGUAUUCAUGCCAUUCUUCAUCUGUUAAGACAAUAAAAAGACACAUUUAGAAUUUUUGGAUUUACUCUUCUGUUGGAAAUAAGACAUAAGUCUUAUGUAUUUUUCUGAUUGUAAGGCAUAACUGGUUUUCAUCAUAAAAGUCUUGAAACAAACUGUAUCCAUGAGAUUUAUUUAUAUUGAACAUAUGCAUGUCAUUAUUCAUCUGUUACAACAAUAAAAAGACAAAUUUGGAAAAUGUGGAUAUUCUGACCUGUUGAACAUAAGACUAUCGUCUUAUGUAUUUUGCCAUUUUCCCUGACAAAACCUUAUUGAUCAUAAAAUUCUUU